rnacentral:rRNA from 1 species
ACAGAGGGUGCGAGCGUUAAUCGGAAUUACUGGGCGUAAAGGGUGCGUAGGCGGCGCGGUAAGUCGGGUGUGAAAUCUUGGAGCUUAACUCCGAAACUGCAUUCGAUACUGCCGUGCUUGAGGACUGGAAAGGAGACUGGAAUUUACGGUGUGGCGGUGAAAUGCGUAGAUAUCGUAAGGAAGACCAGUGGCGAAGGCGGGUCUCUGGACAGUUCCUGACGCUGAGGCACGAAGGUCAGGGGAGCAAACGGGA